UAAUUUCUAAGCACCAUUCGGAUUGAACCCUUAUUGCUUAUCAGCGCCAUUCUGGUGACUUAUUGAACCAUUAUUUGCUGCUUUUUGGCGGACACUUUUUCGGUUGAAAACCCAUAUGAGAUACUUCUUCUUACCUCUACCCUCCAUAAUUGCAU